UACGUAGGGGGCUAGCGUUGUCCGGAAUCAUUGGGCGUAAAGCGCGCGUAGGCGGCCCGGUAAGUCCGCUGUGAAAGUCCAGGGCUCAACCCUGGAAAGCCGGUGGAUACUGCCUGGCUAGAGUCCGGAAGAGGAGAGUGGAAUUCCUGGUGUAGCGGUGAAAUGCGCAGAUAUCAGGAAGAACACCCGUGGCGAAGGCGGCUCUCUGGGACGGUACUGACGCUGAGACGCGAAAGCGUGGGGAGCGAACAGG
rnacentral:rRNA from 1 species